ensembl:lncRNA
AUUUAAUUGAAAUAUGAACCAGUGAUUUUUUUGAUUGCUGAUUCCAAGAGAGUCUUUGUGGAAAUCCUGUUUGGCUUUUUGUUAUUUUAAUUCUCUUCUCUGUUUUCCAGAACAGUUCUCCACAGUCGCUGUCCACAUGGGUCAGUGGGACCAAGAAGCACUCUGCUAAUGUGUGGACUCUGACCAGCAACAUCCAGCAAGACCCAGACAGCGUUUUCUAUCUCCCAGCUGGAGUUUUUGUUUGUCUGUGACUGGAGAGUCAGAUUUUUGUUGAGCUUCACACUUGCAGAGGUUAAUACACUCUACUGAUCCCUGAUGGGAGAAUCAUCAAUUUUGGCAACAAAGAAGCCUGGUGGAUGUUUGUUUACAGUCUGAUGAUGGGACAUCAUGCUCUGCAUCUUCAAAGUUUGCCUCCUCAUUAUUAUUCAUACCCAGUAAUGUGAAGUAUGCUCAUAUCUACUAUAACUGAACCAACCUGGUGCUCUUCAUUUAUGGAGGCUGUUGAGUCUGAAUGUUGGAUGUUGUGUAUCUCGUGUUCUCUGGGCUUUGUUGUCCUCAGUCUUUUCACAGGAUCAGAAAACAAAACCAGGAGGCGCGUACAUGUUUCUUCUCCAUGAUGUUUCUUCAAAUGUUUCUUCUGGAUGAUGAUAAGACUGACACGGGAUGCCACCUUUGGUCUUGUGAUGAAGCAAAGCUCAGGAAGAAGUGGGAUUAAAUGGUACCCACAUGUGUGCUGCUGAGAAGGAUGUACAGGGGCACCUGCAGCCAAAUCCAAGCCUCAGAGCAGAGCAGCAGUUUGUGCUCACAGAUGGUGACGGUGUGGAGAGACGGUGGUGUUUCCUCAGAAGAACCAGCAGAGUCACAAAGGACACCAGUCCAUCUCACCACCUUGACUUGCUGACUGAUGCUCGUCUGCACUGCACAGAGGAAAUCAGCUGACCGAGAUGGGCAGCAUAUCAGUCUUGGACUGUCUAACCUGCAGCACUGAAUGACCACCACACAUGAGCAUGUUCCUGCAACAUUCAGCAUCUGAUCCUUCAUCUGUGUGCUUCUGCUUUUGUGUCACAUGUCAAACAGCUGGAGAGGAAACUACACCAGUGUACUGGGAUGUUUCAGCAACACGUGCCAGAUGCUGUUCCUUCAUGGUGACAUCACCAGAGACAGUCCCGCCCACCUCAGGACCUCGCCAUUGAUCAUGAUGAUUAUAAUGAUGACAGCGAGCGGAACUAAGACUGUAAAAAUCCACGACCAGAAUGUUUCUUUCUAAUUAUUAAUGAAUACUGAGAGCCUCUUUCUCUGUUUUGUCUGUUUUGGGGUUGUUUUUUUUACCUCAUUUGUUUCUAACAAAGUUCACAAACUCACACAGUUUACAUUCUGUAUGUUUCCAUCUUUACCAGCCACACUCUAACUGCAUUUAAGAAAAUAAUCCUUAGAAAUCGUCGUUUUUCUCUUUUGUAAUUGAUGAUAAUUCAGUGAAUAUACUGCGCUGCUUCCUUUUAUUGCGUCACACAUUGCUUUAAGUUUUUCAGUGUCCAGUUAUUUUUUACUGCUGUUUGAAUUCUCUGAAUGUUUGACCCUGUAGACUGUUUGAUGGACUGCUUGUCUUCCUGUUUGUUACCGCCGCCUGUUUUUUAAUAAAGAUUUGGAUUUCUGACUUCAAC